rnacentral:rRNA from 1 species
GAUGAACGCUGGCGGCGUGCCUAAUACAUGCAAGUCGAGCGAACAGAUGAGGAGCUUGCUCCUCUGACGUUAGCGGCGGACGGGUGAGUAACACGUGGAUAACCUACCUAUAAGACUGGGAUAACUUCGGGAAACCGGAGCUAAUACCGGAUAAUAUAUUGAACCGCAUGGUUCAAUAGUGAAAGACGGUUUUGCUGUCACUUAUAGAUGGAUCCGCGCCGCAUUAGCUAGUUGGUAAGGUAACGGCUUACCAAGGCAACGAUGCGUAGCCGACCUGAGAGAGUGAUCGGCCACACUGGAACUGAGACACGGUCCAGACUCCUACGGGAGGCAGCAGUAGGGAAUCUUCCGCAAUGGGCGAAAGCCUGGCGGAGCAACGCCGCGUGAGUGAUGAAGGUCUUCGGAUCGUAAAACUCUGUUAUUAGGGAAGAACAGAUGUGUAAGUAACUAUGCACGUCUUGACGGUACCUAAUCAGAAAGCCACGGCUAACUACGUG